UCUAUGAUUUUAAUAUUUAAAGUAUUGGUUUUAAUGGGAAAUUUUAUGAAUUCUAUAUUUCUGUAUUUCAUAAUCAUAAUCAUCAGCAUUUUAUAUGAUAAAAUCUUUUAACAUAUCAAAAUUCACAUGAUAAGAGGUAUUUUCCCUCUCAAUGUACAGACUUGAAGAUUAUGUUUAUCAUUUGAGUUAAAGGCGAUAUUUAACUAUAAAGACAGUCAUUCUAACGCAGCAAUCAUUAUAAAUACUUGAAUAUUUUGUCAAGUGACAGUUUUUCAUUACCAACGUCAAAAAUAUUCACUUCCAACACGAUUAUAGAUAACAACACAAAAUGAAUAUGAAAAAAUUUUUUACCUAUUCCCUGGUCUUAUGCGUGGUAUUGUCCCUCUUUUUGGAAACUGUCAAUGCUGAACAACCUUCUCCCAAUGGUGGCACUAUCGUUGUAAAUGGAACUGUAAAUGGAAAAGAUAUUGUAAAAGGAGUGAAAAAAGUUGUAAAGGAAGGAGGAAGAGUGAUCAAAAAAACUAAAAAGAAGAUUAAGAAAAUUUUUGGUUAAAAAAUAAUGUAUUUUUGAAUAUAAAUCACUACUUGUAGUCAAAAAUUGUUCUAAUUGUAAUCAUGAUUAAUUUGUUAUAAAUAUAUUUUUGUUACAAAAAAAAACUUGUACCAAGAAUUGUUACUGUAUAUUAUACCCUUUAAAUAAAUAUUUAAAAUUAACAAAAA